AAGGACAACAUAUAUAUGUGUGUGUGUGUGUAACUUUAUUUUACCUUUAUUCCUGUCGGGUUGUUUACAAGUCAUACAAACGUAUAUUGAGAGUGGCAGGAAGAGGAGAAGAACUUAGAGAAAGAAAACAGUUAACCAUGGAUGCAGUGGCAGAAGCAAUGAUAUAGUUAUACAGAAACGUGAAAAGCAGCAGCUGUACACACACACGCAAAUAAAUGUGUGUGUGUGCAUUAGUCGACAAUAAUAAUGCCAAGCAAUGCUACUGAAUGGAAGAACGGUAUAUACUACAGAAAGACACAAAAUUGAAAGCAGGAGAGAAAGGAAGGAAGUAGGCGAUUCUCUUAAAGGCCCUCCUUUUUCUUUUUACGUUAAAGACUUAAUUUAAUUAAACUCUUUGAAAUGCCCAGCCCUCUUUCAUGUAUUUGGUAUUAUCAUUUCUAAAAAGAGUAUACUGAGCUACAUACACUAAACCUUACAUAUCAUCGUGAAACAUUUUCACUUUGCUAGUUCCCUCUUUCUAUACACAAUGAAUGAUUUACUCCAA